CCUACGGGAGGCAGCAGUGGGGAAUUUUGGACAAUGGGCGCAAGCCUGAUCCAGCUAUUCCGCGUGUGGGAAGACGGCCUUCGGGUUGUAAACCACUUUUGUAGAGAACGAAAAGUCUGUUGAUAAUACCGAUAGAUGAUGACGGUACUCUAAGAAUAAGCACCGGCUAACUACGUGCCAGCAGCCGCGGUAAUACGUAGGGUGCGAGCGUUAAUCGGAAUUACUGGGCGUAAAGGGUGUGCAGGCGGUUUUGCAAGAUGGAUGUGAAAGCCCCGGGCUUAACCUGGGAAAGCCAUACAUGACUGCAAGACUAGAGUGCGUCAGAGGGGGGUGGAAGUCCAAGUGUAGCAGUGAAAUGCGUAGAUAUUUGGAAGAACACCGAUGGCGAAGGCAGCCCCCUGGGACGCAACUGACGCUCAUACACGAAAGCGUUGGGAGCAAACAGGAUUAGAUACCCUUGUAGUC
rnacentral:rRNA from 1 species